rfam:Trichinella spiralis unplaced genomic scaffold Scfld4, whole genome shotgun sequence.
CACUGUUAACGGUGGAUCACUUGGCUCGUACGUCGAUGAAAAACGAGGCGAGACUCGAAAGUUUAUGUGAAUUGCAGCCACGUUGAACAUAGAAAUUUUGAACGCACAUUGCGGUGUUGAGUUGACUCGACGCCGCGUCUGUCUGAGGGUCG